UCUGCCCCUAGGGACAUUACAAAUGUAGCUAUUUUGUCAAAUGUGUGUCAAUAGGUGGCAGAGAGAGGCUAUGUUGAUGUACAGUGUUCCUGACCUAUGAACAUAUGAAUGAUUAGUAGCCUAACAUC